UACGUAGGGUGCGAGCGUUAAUCGGAAUUACUGGGCGUAAAGCGUGCGCAGGCGGUUUUGUAAGCCAGAUGUGAAAUCCCCGGGCUUAACCUGGGAACUGCAUUCGAGACUGCAUUGCUAGAGUAUGGGAGAGGGAAGUGGAAUUUCCGGUGUAGCGGUGAAAUGCGUAGAUAUCGGAAGGAACAUCAGUGGCGAAAGCGACUUCCUGGACCAAUACUGACACUCAGGUGCGAAAGCGUGGGGAGCAAACAGG
rnacentral:rRNA from 1 species